GGGGUUGUGGCUCAGUGGCAGAGCACUUGCCUAGCAUGUGUGAGGCACUGGGUUCGAUCCUCAGCCCCA
rnacentral:tRNA from 1 species